rnacentral:lncRNA from 1 species
AAAUUGUGAAAAGUGACUCUUGAAGCUUUCAGUAGUCAGCCAUGUAUUAAUGCCAGAAUACACUAUUUGUUUAGCAUGUUUAAUAAGCAUCUGCAGGUCUGACUCAGAAUCACAGCAGAUUUAUUCCAGUAUUCUGGUGUGGAAACAUGUGAUUCGCUGUGUUUAACUUCAUUUUCUUCCACCGUCAUGAUUUUAACCCAGUUUAAAACAGACAGACUGUUGAAAAAUUCAUGUUUAUGUGGCGUGAGCUGCUUCUGUCCCGUCGAUUAGAGAUAUUCAGGUUGUGCUCGACGACUCUUAAAACGGCUCCCCUGAGGGCUUUUACACAGAGGAAAUCAAUACCAACACACACCACUUCAACCAUCCCUCUCUCUCUCUCUCUCUCUCUCUCUCUCUCUCUCUCUCUCUCUCUCUCUCAUCACUGAAUCAUAUUUAAACAUUCUCCCAGUACCCUCUGUCAUUUCUGCAGUAGCACCAAGCAAAAGUACCAAAGCUCAGCCUGCUUGUUCUGUUUGCUGUGGUGAAGACAAGCUAACAGAAGCUACUACCAUCCAGUUUAACACCAAAGCUGCAGGGGGACUCGGUCAGCACCCAACACCCGAAUCUACGAGGCCUUCUGAAAAAUCACCGUGUUUCUUUCCCGAUGAUGAAUGUGUGAGAUCCGCAGGGAUGGAGGUAUCAGCAGAGUGGCGCCACAGCGUGCUAUCCUUCUGA